ACCUUUCAACGGUGCCUCAUCUCCAUCCAGUGUAAUGCCAUUGCAAGAAGGUCUUGGGGGUUAAGAAACAAGAAGGGAUUCACCGACCUCCUUGCAAUGGCAUUACACUGGAUGGAGUCGAGGCACCAUUGCAAGGU